UAACCGCCGCGCGGGCCCCGGAUGAGGUGGCGGAUGCGCUCGCCCGUGGUUUUCCUCGGCGGCGGGUGGAGCGUUGUCAGCAGCCUCCUCUCGCGCUUUUCUCUGCCUCGGGGGCUCGGCGUCAUUCGUGUGACAUCGGCUUGGGCCGUGACGUCACUUCUUGAGGCGUUCAGGUGUCCUAUGGAUCAAUGUAUGGACUGAGAAGCAAUGCACGAGGUUACAGAGGAGGCUUAACAAUUUAAUGACAGACAAGCUCGCAACAACAACAAAAUAAAAUCCUACUGUGUGGUUCUUCACAUGCUCAUCCUUCAGGCUGUCUCAGUCAGAAAUCUGAACCAAGUGGAGCCUGUCUCUGUAUCCAAGUUGAAGUAACUCCCUUGUGAGCAUCCCAGUAAUGGCAGGUAUCCAGUGGGUUCCUGAUACCUUCAAGCAACACUUUCUCUUCAAUAAAUUAUAUCCUUAAUUUAA